AGCAGGGAACCGAAGCAUUGUGACUCGUCUCGCAUCAGCCAGUCAGCCAGCCAGUGCCGCGCGGUGUACAUCUUGGGCCAGGAGUGUGACGGAAGCUGUGCUUUCUCGAAUACUAUUUCGUGUCCAGGGUGAAAUAGGACCGCCGAACUCUUCCUGGUUUGGUCCCAGUGAUCCAGCAGGUGUGGUGCUGUCCCUGUGGAGGCUAUUACUUAUUCACGGCUGCUGUGGCUUUCACAGUGACCUGUUGAAAGGACGAUGAAGAGUAACUGUCCCUCUAAAAAAAGGUCUUGUACGUUUCCUGGCCGUGAGGAAUGGCCUGUCUGGGACACAAAGGGACGACCAGGCAACCCACCAGCCAGCAGCUCACAGGGCACUCCUAGGCCCACCACCGCUCCUCCACCUUUAUAUUUUUUCCGUUCUCCGCCCAUCGCUACCAGGAGUGUAUUAAGGCCACGGAUCCAAAGUGCACGCCAAAACCAGACUCUUGGGUACAUGACACAGGACCGCAACACCUGGACGUAGAAAGCAACUUAAGCCUGGUUUUACUUCUAUCAUUAUUUUCAAGUCACUUUAGAUUGGUAGGAACAUACAAAGACGAAGGAUGCCAGCCAGUCCAUCGAAGAUGUUUGCCAGACAUAAAUCCGAGGACCAGCGUGUGGACCCUCUUGGAUGGUGUAACUCUAUCUUGGAAGAGGACGUGGGCGAGACUCUGUUGAGGCCCAGGCCACUUACGGGACAGAGUGGAGCGAGCGAGGGGACGCGGAACCAACAACGGAAUACAGAACCAUGACGAUGCAGUUUAUUCAGAUUGCAUCGCGCGCAUAUCCUCUGACACCACCAAGCUCUAUUCCCUUCCACGCCUCAGAAAUUUGCAUCUCCGGAAGCUGAGAAGAGUUUUCGGAACACAGUGCGCUUCACAACACUCAGAGAUCUUCCUUUAUUCCAACACCUGCUCCGUUUAUAUUUUCCCAAGUGUAUAUUGUAUUUCAUCUUCAUAUCUCUAUAAAGACCGUGACAUUUC